UUAUUUUAAAAAAAGAAAAAGAAAAAAAAAUUUAAUUGGAAAACUGAGCAAUCAGAUAUAGCAAGUUCCAGGGAUUUAAAUGUAUCACCAGAAAGUAUAUUUCUCUAAUUCUGGCUUCUGCCUUCCUCCGUUGGCUUCAUUCUGUGCCCCUCGUGGUGGCAUAAUGGCUACACAGCUCUAGCCCUCACCCAAUCCUCUCAGCUGCCCCAGGAGAGAAAACUUCUCUUCCCAAUGGACCCCACAAAAGCCUCAGGAUUCACUCUGAUUGGACCAACUUUGAUCUCUAAACCAACCACUGUGACCAGAAGAUGGAGAUAGGUUAUGGACCAGGUCCAAGUUAUAUGCCAACCCCUUGAACUAAAAGUGAGGUCAGCUCCAUCCAAACUAGAGGGAAUGGGAGGAGAAUGUGGUUUCCCAGGGGAAAAUCAAGGUUCUAUAUCCAGAAGGUGGGGAAAUAGGUACAGAGCAGGUAAAAAACUAUACAACCCAGCAUGGAGCUGGAACCCCAGGCCCAGAGCCCAUCUCUGAGUAGGAACUAAGGGCUGGAAAAACCCUCUGGGAGGGACAGACUAGAACCUGAGGUCCUGCCAAAUUCCCUGAGGCUUCAGGCCAGGCUCGGCUGUUUCUCACACAUGUCUCUGGACACACAGGAGCAAAGUUAAAGGUUCUGGAGGAGGCCGUGGCUGCCCUGGAAGCUCAGUGUCGGGCAAAGGAGGAGCGCCGGAUCGACCUGGAGCUGCGACUGGUGGCUGUGAAGGAGCGCUUGCAGAGAUCCCUGGCAGGGGGCCCAGCCCUGGGGCUCUCCGUGGGCAGCAAGAACAAGAGUGGGGAAACUGCAAAUAAACCCCAGAACAAUGCCCCAGAGCAACCUCUCCCUGUCAACUGUAUUUCUGAGCUGAGGAAGAGAAGCCCAUCCAUCGUAACCUCCAACCAAGGAAGGGUGCUACAGAAAGCCAAGGAAUGGGAAAUGAAGAAGACCUAGAAAAAGGAUGAAGAUUUCAUUCCAAAGGAAAUACAAGAUUGUAUUGGAAACACUUUUUUCACAAGGAGAUGCCAGAACACUGGAAGUAGCCCCCACUGGAAGUAGCCUCUCCAGGGCACCCAAGAGACCAGCCUUUAUUGUCUGCAUGAUUACAGGGGAUAUGGGGAGGGAAGAAGUGGAAGGGAAGAGGGACAUGGAGGGUGUCCUUGUCACUUCCCAGAGGGUGGAAAACAGGGGUGGAGGGAGAUAGAAAUCUGCACGGUUGUAAAGGUUUUGUUAAAUGUCUUUGCCCUCACUGCUGAAGAAGAAAUGAAAGCACAUGCGAAUAAGCCAUUCCAUCCCAUUCUAGCGUCCCACUCCCAGGCUGUAGGGCAGAGGAAGACAGUGCUUGAAGCAUCGGUAGGUAGUACCGUACAAAGAGACAAGCCUUGAUCAUCUGCUCACACUUGUGCCAUUUGGAUUCAUAUUGGGCAUCCGUGACAACCUCUGGGCAACAUAAAGAGGCCAAAAAAUCAAUAGAAUUUCCCUGCCUGCGUAAAGGUGAACAAAAGCUACAGACAACAUGCAAAUUCUGCAAUCAUUCCUUAUGUGCUUCAGAACUGGGCAGAUGUGGCUACCAGAACCCCGCAUUUGAGUUGUUUUCAAAUUAGAGAUCUGAUACGCAGCAGGCGAGGGGAGGUUCAGCAGCGGACUUAUUUUCAGGUCACAGUGAGAGUGACAGGAACGUGGAUUUCUAACGUCCACAGGAUGUUGCAGGCAUUGGAGGGUGGGGUCAUUUGUGGUCAGUCAGGUCCUUUACCUAUUUCAUAUGACACUCAGGCUCCAGGAGCUAGGACUAGAAAUCCAACUGAUGCUCAGUAUGUCUUUAUCUUGAUUUUGCACUUGAGGGCUCUCCAGUCUGCACUUCAUAUCUGCUGUCAGGGAGAACCAAAGGACAGUGGCUCAUUUCUGCCAGGAGUGCCUUUUACUAACACUUCAUACUUUUAUAGGGAAGCAAGAACCUCAAGUCUUGGGCACUCCCCUUACUGUGCCACUCAUUACUUUCUCAAGACUGUAGGCACUUUUUAGGUCUUUACAUUUCCUUCCAAAAAAGAUAAAACCUGUUAACUGUUAAGAGCUCAAAGGUUAGCUCCAGGAGAGAGAAAGAAAAUCCCAGAAUAACCUUUGGACACUUUGCUGGAGGUUUCACGUACUUUACCCUACCUAGGGCUUUACAUACUUUUGCCUUAUCCCAACUUUACCACUCUUUGAGGUAGCUGGAGACCAGAACAGGGAAAAUAACCUGACCAAAAUCACCUAGCUGGUCAGAGGCAGAGCAAAAGGCUUAGGGCCUAUGAGCCUGGAUCCACACAGGGCUGGGUUUGAGCCCUGCCUCUGCCACUAACCAGCUGGUGAGUCUGGGAAAGUCACUUGAUCUCUCUGAUUCUUGUUUUCUUUAUCUGUGAAACCCAGGUUGACAGUUCCAUUUUCCUCCCAAGACUAUUGGGGAAACUCAAUGAGAUAGUAUAUGGGAAACAUCUUGCACACUGUCUGAGAAAUAGGAAAUGCUCAGUCGAUAGUGGCUCUUAUUAUUAGCUAGAUAAGAAAUGUCUGACUAAAACUCCCGUGUUCUUUCCACUGAAGAAAUGUUUAUAUGGUAAUCAAAGCCAUCAAAAAGCUAAAAAACAACUAAUCCAUAACUGACAGUUUUCAUCCAGAUUCCACUUAAACAUCUUCAAUGAAAAAGCAGCGCACAUAAUCUGGAUUGUUAAUGUUCUUUCUAAAAAUGUGGAUCCUAGAAUGACACCCAACACUCCAGUUAUGUCCUCAGCAUGUAUUCUUCCUCAUGCAGUUAUUUGGGGGUUGAGCAUUUUUCCCCACCGAUAGAUCUUGGGGAUCAUUGAUAGGGGGAACACUACAGAAUUAAUAAUAAACAUUUAUUGAACACUCCAUGCCUCAGGCACUGUGUUCACAAGGUUCACAAGCACACAACCUGUGCAGUCACAAAGAUUAGUAAGGCCCUGGGCUUGGUUUAAUGCUCUGCUCUUACCCUCUUAAUAAUUUUUGAACAAGGGGUGUCACAUUUUCCUUUUGCUCUUUAAAUUGUGUAGCCAGUCCUGGUGCUAACUAAUCACUUUUCCAGGCAUCAUCCCUUUUGUUUUCACUAAAACUCUGUGAGAUAGGCUCUAUUAUCUCAGUUUUCAGUGAGGGAAACUGAAGCCCAGAGGGGUUAUGUAACUUGCAGGAGCCCACAGGAAGUGGUGGAGGCAGCAGCCCUUCCUCUUAGUUCCAAGGUUCCAUUUCAUCCAUGCCUUACCCCACCACCCCUCUUGCACUGCAGCAUUCAGAAGCACACUAGCACUUAAUAAAUAGAUGAAUGAUGGAUGUACAUAUGCAGCAUAUUUGGUAGAAGUCAGUUAGCUAAGAGAAGUGUAAACAAAAUGGCUAAAGCAUAGAUGCCAGUCCUCAUCUGUUAAAAUGCUUUGUUUGGUUUUUUGUUUUUGUUUUUGUUUUUUUUCAAGGUAUAGGCUCAUGGCUCUAGGGUGGAUUUGAAGCUCCAUCCUUCCUGACACUGCCAAGUUUUGGGACUAUCAGAUUUCUAGUGUCCCUGGAUCCUCAGUGGGGGACCCUGAGCAGGUGUACCAACCCCUCUGAGCCUCACUUUUCUCAAAUGUAAAAGGGGAUCAUAAUCCCUCCUUGACCCACGUUGCCCUUCUCCUGAGGCCAAAAGGAAGCAUCAGGUGUUGGUUACAACACAUUUGGGCUGGGCCACGAAUAGAAUAAAAAGAUGCAAAAGUC